AACGCGAAGAACCUUACCUACCCUUGACAUCCAGAGAAGACUGCAGAGAUGUGGUUGUGCCGAAAGGAACUCUGAGACAGGUGCUGCAUGGCUGUCGUCAGCUCGUGUUGUGAGAUGUUGGGUUAAGUCCCGUAACGAGCGCAACCCUUAUCCUUAGUUGCCAACAUGUAAUGGUGGGGACUCUAAGGAGACUGCCGGUGAUGAACCGGAGGAAGGCGGGGACGACGUCAAGUCAUCAUGGCCUUUAUGGGUAGGGCUACACACGUGCUACAAUGGGCAGUACAGAGGGCGGCCAACCCGCGAGGGGGAGCCAAUCCCAGAAAGCUGUUCGUAGUCCGGAUCGGAGUCUGCAACUCGACUCCGUGAAGUCGGAAUCGCUAGUAAUCGCGAAUCAGAAUGUCGCGGUGAAUACGUUCCCGGGCCUUGUACACACCGUAGUACC
rnacentral:rRNA from 1 species